GCUGACGAAGGCCAGUACUCCGUUGGUCGGCAGCACAUGGAGCAGCUGGCCGCAGCAUCAACAACAGCCGGAAGUUCAAGGGCAAAGAAGGUCAGUUUUACACAGGAAAUGUAAUACCACACUCGUUUUAAAACAUAGGUUCAAGACUCAAAUGAACUUUCAGAAUCAAGUAAUUGACAGGUGACAGUUUAUUUCCUCAGAAAAGCGGGAAAUGGAGAAUGCACUCUCUUGUGUGUUCUGCCAUUUUGUUUCAGACAUGUUUGCCGAGCAGCUGUCCUGACUGAGCCUCACCCUGCAAAGGAAUGACCUGAUCCUCCCUCAAGCCACAUCAGAGUUGAGGAAGACAGUGACCAGACUGGAAGCACUAAAUCUGAGGGCGAAGGCAGCAGGCAUGCUGGCUCAGCAGCAGGGUGAUGAGAGGAGAUUCCUGGUGUGGGAAGAACGCCGAAGGGGAAUCUGAAAGGCUUCACGGACCUCACCAGUCCCCAGCUGAAGCAGCACAUGGAGGCGUCCAUCAACAUGGGCCAUCAACAUGGGCCAUCAACAUGGUCCAUCAACAUGGGCCAUCAACAAGGUCCAUCAACAUGGGCCAUCAACAUGGUCCAUCAACAUGGUCCAUCAACAUGGUCCAUCAACAUGGGCCAUCAACAUGGUCCAUCAACAUGGGCCAUCAACAUGGUCCAUCAACAUGGGCCAUCAACAAGGUCCAUCAACAUGGUCCAUCAACAUGGUCCAUCAACAUGGUCCAUCAACAUGGUCCAUCAACAUGGGCCAUCAACAUGGGCCAUCAACAUGGGCCAUCAACAUGGGCGUGGUGGAUGAUCUCAAAGCCAGGUUAGGUGGUCUGCUGAAGGACGAGGGUGUCCAGAACCCAGUGGAGUCUUUCAGAGUGAUAAACCCUGACACCAGAAGACCAGCCUUCUCACCUUUGGCGCCGAUGGUGUGGCAGAACUGAAGAGGCGUUUCAAGGAGCCUCUAGAGAGGUAAGAGGUUAUGUGACACUGCGUUGCCAUACGAGACAAUGCUGUGUCUAUAUGUGCCGACUCUCUUGCUCUGUUCAAUCCUGCAGAUCGGGGCGCAACAUGGCUGCAAUCCAGGAUGAGUGGCAGGGGCUGAAAAUCCUGGUCCUACAGUGGCCUCUGGGAGAGCAUGUUGACAAAGGACCCCUACAGGCACCAUUACAAGGUAGACUAACAGUCCUGAGGGGUUAUGUAUGGUAUCCUAUGGUUGGUUUCGAUAAGUUCAUGGUAAGAGUUGAAAUGAAAUUGAAAGAUAUCAUCUUUUCCCUAGAACA
rnacentral:lncRNA from 1 species